rnacentral:rRNA from 1 species
CCCUUAGAUGUUCUGGGCCGCACGCGCGCUACACUGAUGAACGCAACGAGACCACCUGUACCGAAAGGCAUGGGUAAACUUGUGAAAGUUCAUCGUGAUGGGGAUAGAUUAUUGCAAUUAUUAAUCUUCAACGAGGAAUUCCUAGUAAGCGCGAGUCAUCAGCUCGCGUUGAUUACGUCCCUGCCCUUUGUACACACCGCCCGUCGCUCCUACCGAUUGAAUGGUCCGGUGAAAUCUUCGGAUAGGACUUUUUUGAUUUAUUUCAAUUCUGUCUUAAAAGCUAUCUAAACCUCAACAUUUAGAGGAAGGUGAAGUCGUAACA